UACGUUUUAAUAUAUGAUGUAUGUAGAUUUUUGAUAUCUAAAGAAAUAGUUUAAGUCUAUUAAUCGUAA
rnacentral:tRNA from 1 species